rnacentral:pre_miRNA from 1 species
UAUUUGCCGCGCGCAGGGUCACGGACUUCUAGAACUUUCAUAAGCAGGGAUAAACGACAGAAGUUAUGUCCGGAGCAAGAAUAAACAAGAAAGUUCUAGAAGUCCGUGACCCUGCGCGCGGCAUUAGGU